UCACUCACAUGUGUGUUUAAGUCCUGUGUGUGUGUGUGUGUGUGUGUGUGUGUGUGGGUGCACUUUGGUCAGUGAGCUCAGAUGUAUUUGACACACAAACACAAAAACAGAUCCCAUCAUGAAUGUGUUCAGUUUGAAGAGGAGCUUCUUCUACAGGACUUACAGUAAGUAACUUAUUGGAUUACAGAAGAUACAUUUYAAUGACAGUGUUGUUUAAACAUGUUGUUGUUUACAGCCUAUUUUUGUUGUUUACAACAUGUUUUAUUGGCCUUUAAUUGGACUUUUUUACUGUAGAGUAAACCAGUAACUUAUAUUUGCUGUAUUUUACUGUUUUUUAUUGAAUUUAUUUUAUGAAACACUUGGUCUUAACUCAGUUUUAUAUAAAUAUAGCCGAGGUUUAAUAAAUAACCAUAAAUUAAAAGUUGUGUAUUUUGUGUCUUUCUGAUGUGUGUGUGUGUGUGAGAGAGAGAUAAAGUGUGUGUGAACAGAUGAUCUACCCUCAGAGAGGACCUACAGAACGCUCGGCUGUAAWUACGGCUCCAACACUUCACCUUCUGCUCCAGCGCUGACGUCCUGCAACCCACUCACGUUCACUUCAACACUACGGUUUUUUUCAUGGUUGACCCCGUGCAGGAGGAGGAAGAGGAGGAGGAGGAGGGGGAAGAGCUGACCCUCAUGGAGGAAGAAGAGAAAUCUGCUUCAGAUGAAGACAUGAGAAACGUUUCAUCAGUGGAGGAAAACAAAGAGUCCGUCCAGGAACUGACGGAAACAUCUGAGACCUCCACUGUUUCUGCAGAGGACCAGACAGAGGAGGAGACAGAGGAGGAGGCGGUGGAUGAGACAGAGAAGGAGACGGUUGAGGAGACAG